rnacentral:lncRNA from 1 species
UUGUUCACUUGGAUGAACUCAAAAAUUAAGAAUCUGAACACUCAUAUUCCAUUAAGAGUCACAACCACCUGUCAAUAUGAAUCUGACUAUUACAGCCAAUAAGUCUGAAUCAUCUGAUUACUAAGGCCUUUUCUGCACCAAAGGCCUUGUAAGGCCUUUUAACAUGGUGGGAAUUUUACCUCCCAACUGGACAUCAAAAGCAUGCAGAAUGAUUAUGAGAGAUCAAAAGGAUUUGAGUCUGACUGUUGUAGGUUCAACAUUCUGGUACCAGAUGAUAUAACUAUGCCUCAAUUGGCUGUGCAAAACAGAUGUGAGUCUGACUGUUGUAGGUUCAACAUUCUGGUGCCAGAUGAUAGAACUAUGCCUCAAUUGGCGAACAGAUG